AUUGAACGCUGGCGGAAUGCUUUACACAUGCAAGUCGAACGGCAGCACGGACUUCGGUCUGGUGGCGAGUGGCGAACGGGUGAGUAAUACAUCGGAACGUGCCCAAUCGUGGGGGAUAACGUAGCGAAAGCUACGCUAAUACCGCAUACGAUCUAAGGAUGAAAGCGGGGGAUCGCAAGACCUCGCGCGAAUGGAGCGGCCGAUGGCAGAUUAGGUAGUUGGUAGGGUAAGGGCCUACCAAGCCGACGAUCUGUAGCUGGUCUGAGAGGAUGAUCAGCCACACUGGGACUGAGACACGGCCCAGACUCCUACGGGAGGCAGCAGUGGGGAAUUUUGGACAAUGGACGCAAGUCUGAUCCAGCCAUUCCGCGUGCAGGAUGAAGGCCCUCGGGUUGUAAACUGCUUUUGUACAGAACGAAAAGGCUCUGGUUAAUACCUGGGGCUCAUGACGGUACUGUAAGAAUAAGCACCGGCUAACUACGUGCCAGCCGCCGCUGUAA
rnacentral:rRNA from 1 species